AGUACAGACGAGUUUGAUCCUGGCUCAGAACGAACGCUGGCGGCAUGCCUAACACAUGCAAGUCGAACGAAGCCUUCGGGCUUAGUGGCGCACGGGUGCGUAACACGUGGGAAUCUGCCCUUCGGUUCGGAAUAACAGUUAGAAAUGACUGCUAAUACCGGAUGAUGACGUAAGUCCAAAGAUUUAUCGCCGAAGGAUGAGCCCGCGUAGGAUUAGGUAGUUGGUAGGGUAAUGGCCUACCAAGCCGACGAUCCUUAGCUGGUCUGAGAGGAUGAUCAGCCACACUGGGACUGAGACACGGCCCAGACUCCUACGGGAGGCAGCAGUGGGGAAUAUUGGACAAUGGGCGAAAGCCUGAUCCAGCAAUGCCGCGUGAGUGAUGAAGGCCUUAGGGUUGUAAAGCUCUUUUACCAGGGAUGAUAAUGACAGUACCUGGAGAAUAAGCUCCGGCUAACUCCGUG
rnacentral:rRNA from 1 species